CAGGAAGCUGGCUCUCAUCAAUGUCUUCUAGCAAGGUUGAUUUUAGGCGUUUAUUCUCCACGAAUACCAUCUGCAAAGUUUGAAAAUGGUGAUCAUGUUAAUAAACUGCAUUUCUUAGCUUCCUACCUAACCUAAAGAGGUAUUACACAUUACCAGAAAUAAGCAAAAGAGGAGUGGAAACUGUUUUAUGGAUAAGGUAAAGUUGAAUGACCUUAGUCUUGGUUUUUUCAUCUAUGAAAGGGUAGAUAAUCUUCCACACUGCCAUAAAGAUUUUCGGGGCGUGAACUAUCAGCAUCUUCCCCAAUCUUUCUGGGUAGCAUUCCUGCAAAAACAAACACAUUCACACAAUGACACAAACAUUGAUGUUUUUGUAGUUUGAUUAUAGUAAAUCAGUUUGAUUAUUUUGUAUACCUGCAGAAGAGAGAGAACCCCAAUAUAUGCACGGACGUCUGUGUUAGAAUAUCCCCAUCCUUGAAGAUCUGCAAUUCCCAGAUACUUUUCCUGUCCAGGGGGCAUCCUGGUUUAAUGUUGCAGUUGAGUCAGGUGAUGAACAUGAUUUGAUUGCAAAAUUAAAACAGAAAGGAUAAAGAAAUGUCAAAUGAGAAUGCCUAGAGUAUAACCUUGAGCAUAUUUUGUCAAGAGAAUAGACACAGAAACCUGUAAAACCGACAAAACCAGAGAAGACGGAUUAACAACAUUACCAGAGUUUGAUUGAUAGUCUUGCAGAAGAAUGAAGAACUAUGUUUUUUGCAGAUAAAGAGUAACAUACGCUUGAACUCAUCAAGACCCCCUGAUUUAGGAUUUUGGAAGUGUUUAGCUCCAAAGACUACAUUAAUUGGGCGACCUUGUUUAUCAAAGCCUUGAAGAAACAUUUUCUUGUGGCCGAGAUCAUACUGUAUCUCUGCCUCGGAGAUAGAACCAUUGGGUACAAAUGUCCUCCUCCAUUUCAGAUACCUCAAGAACAAACCGGCUGCUUUUUCCACGUCCAAGUCCCGGGCUCUUAAGAAUCUCCUCAACAUCAAGUCAUCUGCUUCCUGAUGCGUACAAUACAAUGUUUGUUAAGUUGUGGAGACGAUACCAGUAUACAUAUGUUGAUGAAUCAGUGUACUUUUACCAGUCAUUGUGGUAGAAAACGAGAGUAUUAGUAUGGGAGAAAUAAUGUCUCUACCCGAUGACUUUAAGGUAACAAUUAGCUAACCAUUGGGGUACGGGGUACGAUCUAGCUAGGAAGGAGAAUGGCUUGGCAUGACAAGCUAUUUUAACAAUUAGCUUACCAUUAGAGAUGCUCUGAAAAGUUUUAGGGUGGGUUCACUUUGGCAAUCAUUUAAGUGUAUACUUCCCUUAUCUGUUUUUAAAUUCACUUUUCGUAGUUGUACUACUAUACGUAGUAGUGAAUUCUCAUUACAAUAUACGAGUAUAUUUUAAUUACUGGAAAA